UACGAGAGGCCCAAACGUUAUUCGGAUUUACUGGGCUUAAAGAGUUCGUAGGCGGUUUGGUAAGUGGGGUGUGAAAUCCCUCGGCUCAACCGAGGAAUUGCGCUCCAAACUGCCAGGCUUGAGGGAGAUAGAGGUGAGCGGAACUGAUGGUGGAGCGGUGAAAUGCGUUGAUAUCAUCAGGAACACCAGAGGCGAAGGCGGCUCACUGGGUCUUUUCUGACGCUGAGGAACGAAAGCCAGGGUAGCGAACGGG
rnacentral:rRNA from 1 species